AACGUAGGAGCCAAGCGUUAUCCGAAUUCACUGGGCGUAAAGCGCGUGUAGGCGGUCCGAUAAGUUGGAUUUGAAAUCUCCUGGCUCAACUGGGAGAGGAGGUUCAAUACUGUUGGACUAGAGGGCAGUAGAGGGAGGUAGAAUUCCCGGUGUAGUGGUGAAAUGCGUAGAUAUCGGGAGGAAUACCAGUGGCGAAAGCGGCCUCCUGGACUGCAACUGACGCUCAGACGCGAAAGCUAGGGGAG
rnacentral:rRNA from 1 species